UGAUAUUUGCAAGAUAGCACUUCUUGCUUCUCUUUUGAGAUGAGCAAGCUAGAAAGUUUUGCUCCCCCUUUGUCAUUGUCAAAUAGAAGGGAAGAAUACAAUGUUGUAAUUCUUUUUCCUUUACAUCAAUUUUCACAUCAUGCCAAAGAUAAAUAACAAGGAUAAAUUUAUAUCAAUAUUUAAAUAAAAAAUCAAGUCAUGAAUGUCAAAAGACCAUAUAUCAUUUUUAACAAAUUUCUUUUUUUAUAAAUAGAAAGAAUGAUAGGAAACGAUCUUGAUUUAAAAA
rnacentral:lncRNA from 1 species